rnacentral:rRNA from 1 species
AUACGGAGGGUGCAAGCGUUACUGGGAAUCACUGGGCGUAAAGCGCGCGCAGGCGGUUUGAUAAGUUGGAUGUGAAAUCCUAUGGCUCAACCAUAGAACUGCAUCCAAAACUGUCAAACUAGAGUCUGGGAGAGGAAGAUGGUAUUAGUUGUGUAGGGGUAAAAUCCGUAGAGAUAACUAGGAAUACCAAAAGCGAAGGCGAUCUUCUGGAACAGUACUGACGCUGAGGCGCGAAAGCGUGGGGAGCAAACAGGAUUAGAAACCCCAGUAGUCC